CUGAGUACGGCGGAACACGUGAAAUUCCGUCGGAAUCCGGGAGGACCAUCUCCCAAGGCUAAAUACUCCCUAGUGACCGAUAGUGAACCAGUACCGUGAGGGAAAGGUGAAAAGCACCCCGGAAGGGGAGUGAAACAGUUCCUGAAACCGUGUGCCUACAAGUAGUUAGAGCCCGUUAAUGGGUGAUAGCGUGCCUUUUGUAGAAUGAACCGGCGAGUUACGAUUUGUUGCAAGGUUAAGCGGAAAAAGCGGAGCCGUAGCGAAAGCGAGUCUGAAUAGGGCGCAUAAGUAACAGGUCGUAGACCCGAAACCAGGUGAUCUACCCAUGUCCAGGAUGAAGGUAAGGUAAUACUUACUGGAGGUCCGAACCCACGCACGUUGAAAAGUGCGGGGAUGAGGUGUGGGUAGCGGAGAAAUUCCAAUCGAACUUGGAGAUAGCUGGUUCUCUCCGAAAUAGCUUUAGGGCUAGCCUCGAGGUAAAGAGUCAUGGAGGUAGAGCACUGUUUGGACUAGGGGCCCUUCUCGGGUUACCGAAUUCAGAUAAACUCCGAAUGCCAUGUACUUAUACUCGGGAGUCAGACUGCGAGUGAUAAGAUCCGUAGUCGAAAGGGAAACAGCCCAGACCACCAGUUAAGGUCCCCAAAUAUAUGUUAAGUGGAAAAGGAUGUGGGGUUGCUUAGACAACCAGGAUGUUGGCUUAGAAGCAGCCACCAUUGAAAGAGUGCGUAAUAGCUCACUGGUCGAGUGACCCCGCGCCGAAAAUGUACCGGGGCUAAACAUAUUACCGAAACUGUGGAUGAACCUCUUUAGAGGUUCGUGGUAGGAGAGCGUUCUAAGGGCGGUGAAGUCAGACCGGAAGGACUGGUGGAGCGCUUAGAAGUGAGAAUGCCGGUAUGAGUAGCGAAAGAAGGGUGAGAAUCCCUUCCACCGAAUAUCUAAGGUUUCCUGAGGAAGGCUCGUCCGCUCAGGGUUAGUCGGGACCUAAGCCGAGGCCGAUAGGCGUAGGCGAUGGACAACAGGUAGAGAUUCCUGUACCAGUGCUAAUUGUUUAACCGAUGGGGUGACACAGAAGGAUAGGGAAUCGCACGAAUGGAAAUGUGCGUCCAAGCAGUGAGUGUGAGAAGUAGGCAAAUCCGCUUCUCGCGAAGCAUGAGCUGUGAUGGGGAAGGAAAUUAAGUACGGAAGUUCCUGAUUUCACGCUGUCAAGAAAAGCCUCUAGGAAGAGUAGUACUGCCCGUACCGCAAACCGACACAGGUAGAUGAGGAGAGAAUCCUAAGGUGAGCGAGAGAACUCUCGUUAAGGAACUCGGCAAAAUGACCCCGUAACUUCGGGAGAAGGGGUGCUCUAUUAGGGUGCAAGCCCGAGAGAGCCGCAGUGAAUAGGCCCAGGCGACUGUUUAGCAAAAACACAGGUCUCUGCAAAACCGUAAGGUGACGUAUAGGGGCUGACGCCUGCCCGGUGCUGGAAGGUUAAGAGGAGUGCUUAGCUUCGGCGAAGGUACGAAUUGAAGCCCCAGUAAACGGCGGCCGUAACUAUAACGGUCCUAAGGUAGCGAAAUUCCUUGUCGGGUAAGUUCCGACCCGCACGAAAGGCGCAACGAUCUGGGCACUGUCUCAACGAGAGACUCGGUGAAAUUAUAGUACCUGUGAAGAUGCAGGUUACCCGCGACAGGACGGAAAGACCCCGUGGAGCUUUACUGCAACCUGAUAUGGAAUGUUUGUACCGCUUGUACAGGAUAGGUAGGAGCCGAAGAGACGUGUGCGCUAGCAUACGAGGAGGCAAUGGUGGGAUACUACCCUGGCUGUAUGACCAUUCUAACCCGCCACGCUUAGCGCGUGGGGAGACAGUGUCAGGUGGGCAGUUUGACUGGGGCGGUCGCCUCCUAAAGAGUAACGGAGGCGCCCAAAGGUUCCCUCAGAAUGGAUGGAAAUCAUUCGCAGAGUGUAAAGGCACAAGGGAGCUUGACUGCGAGACUGACAAGUCGAGCAGGGACGAAAGUCGGGCUUAGUGAUCCGGUGGUUCCGCAUGGAAGGGCCAUCGCUCAACGGAUAAAAGCUACCCCGGGGAUAACAGGCUUAUCUCCCCCAAGAGUCCACAUCGACGGGGAGGUUUGGCACCUCGAUGUCGGCUCGUCGCAUCCUGGGGCUGUAGUCGGUCCCAAGGGUUGGGCUGUUCGCCCAUUAAAGCGGCACGCGAGCUGGGUUCAGAACGUCGUGAGACAGUUCGGUCCCUAUCCGUCGCGGGCGCAGGAAAUUUGAGAGGAGCUGUCCUUAGUACGAGAGGACCGG
rnacentral:rRNA from 1 species